AGCCCGAUAGUCUAGUGGCCAAACAAUUUUUGGGUUAGGGAUUCCAGGCUCUGGAUCUUAUGAGAGGAAACCUGGAGACGGCAGUUCGAAUCUGCCUCGGGCUA
rfam:Thaumarchaeota archaeon 13_1_40CM_38_12 13_1_40cm_scaffold_203, whole genome shotgun sequence.